GAAAUAUGAGUGAAAGCCGAAGUGUGACAAAUGACUUCACUGUAAAAUCUGGAGAAUGAACAUCAGCCAGCGUAUAUGUUAAUUGUAUAUGAGAAGAUAUAUCUCUACCGGAUGUCAUUACAGUCAAUGUGGUACCGGAAAUCUCGGCUAAGAAAGGACAAGACAAAGUCAACGGGAGUUAGCUCAAAAAUUACGGUUAAGUAAAGAUAGUACGUUGAAUCAGCAUCCCAGGACGAUCCCGAAUUCAUUAAGGUAAAGUAUGUUGAGUAUUGAUAAUGGCAUGUACUCAGGAUGUUUAAUGAGAGUCAUUUAGGUUGUAAAAGUAUUGAUGAAAUGAGUAAAUUAUGGUUGGUAACGGUAUGUAAUAUGAAUUUUGAAAUUUACUAAGAAUUCGUAGUGAUUCUAAAUUAGUCCCGAAUUGAAA